CAUUACCCACCAAGUACACCCAGGCCUCUGAGCAAAAACAAUCCCAUGAGUGGGCUUGCCUUUUCCCAAGGGAGGAGCAAUCCACACUGCCUUCCCCAGCCAUUUCCCUGUGUGUACUACUGGGACCAUAUCUCCUCCCACAGUAUGAAGGGAUUUUGUUUGGGCAGGACCAGGACGGUUAACAGAUCCUCUGGUGUUAAUUAGCCAAGUGGCUUCUGCUAAAUUUAUAUCCCAGUGCUUCCAUCCCCCAUUGUCCAAUGCUCUCAACAUAGUCUUCAACAGUCCAGUAUAUCUUUCAAUCUUUCCAGAUGCUUGUGUACAUAUUUUCUAAAAAGUUUUU